UGUAUGCCUGGCUCCCUGUAUGCCAUAUGCUGAGCCCAUCGAGUA
rnacentral:sRNA from 1 species